rnacentral:tRNA from 1 species
UCCCAUGUGGCUUAGCUGGUAAAGAAUCUUCCUACAAUGAGGGAGACCCGGGUUCAAUUCCUGGGUUGGGAA